rnacentral:rRNA from 1 species
UACCUGGUUGAUCCUGCCAGUAGUCAUAUGCUUGUCUCAAAGAUUAAGCCAUGCAUGUGUAARUAUGAACUAAWUCAAACUGUG